CCGUCUGACAACAGCAUACUCACGUUACUCCAGGACUGGAGAGUCACUACGAGCUGUGUGUGGAAGCUAGGCUAACUAGCUGAGCAAAUUUAGCGCCCUUGGAAGCGGAAGGAGUUUUCACGGUGUCAAAAUUGUGAGGAGAAAAGGAGGAGAGAAUUAAAGUUGCACCAGUCGAAGCUCUCUGCAUCUUGUGUCAUUAAUCCAAGUGGGCCGCUACAUUUGUAAUGUUGAAGGUGUUGGAUGUACAUGUCCUUGUGUACAAUGAGACCAGUUUUUUUGUAAAGACGUUCAAGUUGGCGUCUCUUUGUUUUUAAUUUGCGGAGCGUGGGAGUAAACCAGGGUGCAGAGUUGGUGAAAGAGACGCUUCUGAUUUUGUCUGGAGCCAGCAUGUCCAGUAGAUGAUGAAGAUUAUUGUUGUGGUAGGUGACCAGUUCAUCGGGAGAGGAACGAGAGUCACUGUCGGGGAGGCUGUCAAUGGCGGUGGAAAAAGUGUCAGAGUUGAUGUCCUUGAUUUUGCGAAAACAGAUAUUGUAAGGUAAUUGUAGAAAAACUUAAUUUGACAGUAAAAGAUACUAGCAGGUGAUCGGAGUAAGGUAGUGAAUUGGAAGUGGCAUUAACAACAUUUACACCUGAACAGCAAACCAGAUCAAGUGUGUGUCCUUUACAGUGGGUAGGGAAGUCGAUGUACGGCUGCAGACCAAAGCUUUGAAGAUAGGAUGAAAAGUCACUGGUGAUUGUACUGUUGGUGCUGUCCAUGUGAAAAUUAAAAUCCCCCUGCAGUACAAUAUUAGGGGAAAGUGAAGAAAGAUGAGCAAUAAAAGCAGAAAAAUCAUUAAUAAAAUCUUUGUUGUAUUUUGGUGGUCGGUAAACAGCAGCAAUGAUUGUGGGAGUAGGUCCAGAUAGCUGCAAAACUGUGGAUUCAAAGGAGCAGAAGACGGUAGAAGACACCGGUGAGAUUUUCCACUUCUCGCGAUAGAUCAGUGGUGCGAGGUUUGGAAGUGUAAACAAACCCGUGAGGAGUGGCGCUAUUAAGGUCUGUGUAGUCACUGAGGUGUUGCCAGGCCUGGCCCUAACCAAUCUGGCGCCCUAGGCAAGAUUUUAGGUGGCGCCCCCCCACAUCGGUAGUGAAGUGUAUAUACUCACAAGAAACCGAAUAGCUUUGUCUUUGACCUUUUUUUUUACUUAAAGAAAGCAAAUGAACAUAUUAUAUGAGAAUGUUAUGUUAUGAUUAUCUUUAACCGAAUCACAGCAGUGCUCAAAUUAAAAAACAGCAUUCCCUCUCAUGUGAUAUUGCUUAAUUAACAUUAAUGAUGUGCACUUUAACAACUAGGCUUACAAUUAUACCUAAUAUAUAAAGGGGUGGAAAAGUGACUAUUACCUGCAGGGCAAACAUUAGCUAACCAGAAGGCAAUAACAAUGUAAACAAAAAACACCUGCUUAAAAGAUCUAAUACAAAUGUCCCUGAGGAAUGUAAG